rnacentral:misc_RNA from 1 species
AACGCAUAUUGCGCUCUCUGGUAUUCCGGAGAGCAUGCUUGUUUGAGUAUCAGUAAACCACCUCAAGUCUUUGAUCAUUUUUUGUGAUCGCGCAGACUUGGAUUUGAGUGAUCCUAAUGAUUUUUAAAAUUGGCAGGUCGCUUGAAAUGCAGGUGCAGCUGAACAAUCAUCUGAGCUAAAAGCAUAUUUAUUUAGUCCUUCUAAUAUCGGAUGGAUUAUUACUUUUGCUGCAGCUAAUAUAAAGGAUGAUUGCUCUAGCUUGACUGAUGCAGGAUAUUAUCAGUGGAACGCAAUUAUUUUUUUUAAUGCUGAAACUGUGUGAAUCUCGAUCUCAAAUCAAGUAAGACUACCCGCUGAACUUAA